rnacentral:rRNA from 1 species
UACAGAGGUUGCAAGCGUUAAUCGGAAUUACUGGGCGUAAAGCGCGCGUAGGUGGCAAGUUAAGUCGGAUGUGAAAGCCCUGGGCUCAACCUAGGAAUUGCAUUCGAUACUGGCUAGCUCGAGUUUGGUAGAGGAGAGUGGAAUUCCCGGUGUAGCGGUGAAAUGCGUAGAUAUGUGGAGGAAUACCGAUGGCGAAGGCAGCCCCCUGGGUCGAUACUGACGCUCAUGCACGAAAGCGUGGGGAGCAAACAGG